GGGAAUAAAAAUAGAAUAGACAAAUAGUAUACUUUAUAAGUGAUCAACUAGCCCCUUCCGCCUUUCCUGCUUGCCCUUGUUAAUGCCUUGCGACUUGCCUUGAAAAAGCUUAACAUGGAAAAAAAGCCCUAUCCUUUUACCCUGGAAAAAUACUCAAUCAAUGGUGUUACUAUUUCGUAGGUAUAGCCACUGGAAAGGGCACUGGGAUAAAGGGGAAAUAUGAUAUUGAGGGCUUCCUAGUUGUCUAUUGCUCCUGGAAUCUCACUAUUGGCUUGCCUGGACCCUCUUGGUUUGCUUGGAGAAGCACUAGAACUACAUGGGGUUACCAUAUGCCCUUUUUUCUUUUCAUGACUCGGAGCUAACAUAACACUUUAACUAGAUGGCACUCCAACUGACACUGCAACUCAAAGCUACGGGAGGGCAGAACCAAUGUAACUGGCUUAGGGGGCACUCGAACUCGAGAGAAGCUAAACGCUCGGCUGGAUCAUAUUGUCUCGUAUGGACUGCUCCUAUUGAGACUGCUACAAGAGAGAAUGGAACUACAUGUAAAGAAACUCCCACUGGCUCGUAAGCAUCGGGGACUGCGGGGAAUUAAACUACUGCUACAAGGAAUACUGGGCCUUAGUCCUUCUCUUCUUUUAAACCUAUUCACUCGUAUCCCUAUCCAAAACGACAUGGAAGCACUUAGAACUGGAAUAUAAGUAUGAGUAUGCUAUGGGGCUAUUGACUAAGGGAUCUUAGAUAGGCUAUUGAUUAUCCCGCUUUCAAACUGGUUGUCCUAAAGGACAGGAGGAACUCUUUAACAUAUUAAUUAGUCUGGGGUGUACACUGAAAUGCCUUAGCCAAAGUAAACCACUCCUUAUGUAUACGAACAUUGGCUUGCAACUGCCAUUCUUUCUCGAUCGAAGGCAGAAGCAAUUGAAAAGAGAGAAGCAAAUGAUGAACUGGCUGGAAAAGAGCUCCCAGAGUAGAACUCGAAAUGAAAGUGGGCCUUUAACUGGCACUCCCGCUGUAAUUGGCUGGCCAGGAAAGUUCACUCGCUUAUUUACUUACGUUCUUAUUGAAGAAAGGAAAUUAAGAAAUAGCUACUAUUGAUACUGUAGUGGGACUGAGACUUAAAACAAAUAUACCUAUUAAGAGGUGGAACUGCUAGGCCUAGUACUUCCUAUUGCUGGUAUUCCAGGUGAACUUAUUCAAUACUCUAUGGUAGAAAUAGGAGAAACAUAUUCUAUUACUUAAUAAAGGGGAGAAACAAUUAGCUAUGAACUCAUCUCCUACACUGGGUCUAUGGGAACUAGGACUGAAAUUAUAUGGAUGGCUUUCGAGCCUGGAAAAUAACUGGCUUUUUCACAAGAUUGGUGAAACUGCUUUUAUCACUGGCUUUCCUCUUCUACUGAUUUAUAUUUCCUCCCGCUUUCUUCUUUUACGGAUAUUUCCCUUAGCUUUUUACCUAACCAGCCUUCAUCGAUACGAUACCCUGGCUUGCUUCUUUGCCUGCCUUGACUGUCGAAAUUAGCUUCCCUUAUUGAGAGCUCCCCAGCAAUAGAAUAUGACGAUACUCAUGCUCUGCUUGAACACUUGCCUGAUGGCUUUCAAAAUAGUUAUGGAUUGAAAAAGGGUAAAGAAACUGAAACUCAAAAGCAAACAAAGGAUUAGCAAUGGCUGGAAUAGAACUCCCAGAGAGAAGGCCAAAAACUGGCGCUUGGCUGGAAGGAAUUAGAUUAUGACUGGCCUCACCCUAUUUAUUUAUUUAUUGGCUCAUCUGGAUCGGUAACCUCGGGAAACCCGGGAGAACUCUUAUUGGGAGAACUUCAAGUGUUUAACUCCAAGCCCGACAUAUAAAAGCUAUAUUCAAGCCCCAGCCCUGUUUACUCCUGCUCAUUUAAAAUAUUCCUUACUGCUUGCCUUGAGAGAAACUCCUGCUGAAAAGGGAAUGCUUUCAUUUACUUAUGAUCUUGCUGGAUUAAAAAAGACUCCAACAGGAACUGAAAUUGAUAUAUAUAUAUAUAUAUAUAUAUGCAUUAAACUGCAUCAAAAUUAGCGAUAGAGACAUUGAUUGAAACAAUUAAAUGUGCUAAGUUGCACGUGCUGAACUUUGCCAAUGAACCACGUUCUACGUUUUACCACCCACCACGAAAACGAAAAAAAUUUGGGCCUGGGCCUCAUGGGCCUCACUUGGAGCCAUGGCCCAUUCCAAGUAGAGCGGGUUGAGUCGUUCGUAGUUCGAAGUUCGAACUCGGUUUUUUAACAUAUACCCUAAAAUUUGUGUCCGCGCCCACCUCUUCUCCUCCCUGGCUCCUCCCGGAGUACAUCAAAACCCUAGCUUCGAUCCUGAUUGUUGAGAUUCCUCUAGGGUUUGGAACCCGAAAUUGGUGAUGGAAGAGGACGAAGGAGAGACCGUUUCUGUUUCGGAGGUCGCCCCAGCUUUGAUCGCCGUACAUCCUCUCGAGAAUUCCGUUGCUGUCGCCGUGGGAUCCGGGGUAAGGCGGAUUGAACUACUGAAUAAGAGAAGCAUUGGGAUUUCCUUGAUUAUAGGGUACUAUCUCAUUGCGGAAGCAGAAGGGAAUCCUUCGAAAGGCAAACCAACGAGGAAGCAUGAAAGGAUCAGAGAAAGAUGUCUUCCUCGGGAAGAAAGCGCGAGCUCUUCAAUCAGUGAGCAUACCUCAUGGGAAUGCAGGUCUUGUUGCAGCACGGGCGUAAAAAGACAUCAUUGAUAACAACUCACUCUCGUUAAGCUCUUACGGUUCAAGGAAGGGAGACCGUCAAGGACAAGGCCAGUGACAAGUCAGGGGCAGGAAAUUCUACUAUAAUACGAGAUCUGUCAAGAAAAAACGGCAACAUAAAUAGUUCAGUCUGUGCCAUCUUAAAGUACAAUGCCAAUAGAGUCAACGAAUCGGAUUGAAAUCAGUGUGAAGAAGAGGGACUAAUCAAGCACAGCAAAAUAGUAGUCAUGUCCACAAGGAAAGGAAUUAUUUUCACCCCCUAUCUAUAUUAUGGGUCUGUACUACUCUAGGAGGUACUAUUGGCAGAGGGGAAGCGCCACUUAGAGACUUUGAAUCUGAAGGAGGGCAGUCGGCCCUAAAGGUAAGAAGGUCUUUGUUUAAGUUCUAAAGUAAUGAUUCAAUCCCACACCUAUUGGAAUCCUCGUGUUGGACACGACGAACCACGCGGAAUAAAGGAAAGCGGGAACUGAACUGAGAACGUUUCGCUGUGAGUCUCCGAACAGCCCGACCCACAUCGCUUCUCUAGAUUAGUGUACUUCCUAAGGUUGGGCAUUUGGCUGAGCCUCUCUCCCUCACCAAUGUGAAUGAAAGGGCACCACAUACAUCUCGACUAGUUUAGUUCGUGCCUGCGGAGCGAACUAAAACCUAUUUUGAAUUCCGGACUCCGAAGUUAGGAUAUUUGGUUGCUUGCUUUGUACUCGACCCAUGUGGUUCGGCUUGUUGCGCCACCUCACUUAACCAAACAUAUCCGAGAAUCAGUUCUACCUGAUCUACACAGCACUUGCUGCUUCAUCCCCGGUUGCAUCUUACUCUGCUGGUCCACCUUCUAAACUGGUCUCCGCACCUGAGACACAUCCGUCUCCUGUUGCUUAUUCUUUUUCCUAUAUUGUGGUGGCUUAUUCGGCGAGUUGGAGCUCCUACUGUUCCCGCGCCAGCUUCAACUCUUGCUCCCGAUUCGGCUCGUGCAACCAGGUGCGGGGCGGCGAUCACUUCGAGAGCUGCACAAGGUAUAUUUUGCACUCUUUAUUUAAGAAUAUUGCCCCCCUAUGUAUGUAUGGCGGUGGAAUUACGAUAGGUAGAGUGCCUCUAUACGGGAAGGUAACCCGUAGAGUGCUGCUUUCUUUGUGGUAAAGCCACAUGAUUGUGAUUAUUAAAGAGUUAGGAUUGAACCUACGACCUCCAGUCUCCCUAAGUGGAGUAAAGCUCCCUUCGGCCUCGAAGAUCAUCUGGUUCCAACUCGAAUUUCUAUGUUAAUAGGUUUUGUACUUCUGCAUGUUGGGAAUAAAAAUAGAAUAGACAAAUAGUAUACUUUAUAAGUGAUCAACUAGCCCCUUCCGCCUUUCCUGCUUGCCCUUGUUAAUGCCUUGCGACUUGCCUUGAAAAAGCUUAACAUGGAAAAAAAGCCCUAUCCUUUUACCCUGGAAAAAUACUCAAUCAAUGGUGUUACUAUUUCGUAGGUAUAGCCACUGGAAAGGGCACUGGGAUAAAGGGGAAAUAUGAUAUUGAGGGCUUCCUAGUUGUCUAUUGCUCCUGGAAUCUCACUAUUGGCUUGCCUGGACCCUCUUGGUUUGCUUGGAGAAGCACUAGAACUACAUGGGGUUACCAUAUGCCCUUUUUUCUUUUCAUGACUCGGAGCUAACAUAACACUUUAACUAGAUGGCACUCCAACUGACACUGCAACUCAAAGCUACGGGAGGGCAGAACCAAUGUAACUGGCUUAGGGGGCACUCGAACUCGAGAGAAGCUAAACGCUCGGCUGGAUCAUAUUGUCUCGUAUGGACUGCUCCUAUUGAGACUGCUACAAGAGAGAAUGGAACUACAUGUAAAGAAACUCCCACUGGCUCGUAAGCAUCGGGGACUGCGGGGAAUUAAACUACUGCUACAAGGAAUACUGGGCCUUAGUCCUUCUCUUCUUUUAAACCUAUUCACUCGUAUCCCUAUCCAAAACGACAUGGAAGCACUUAGAACUGGAAUAUAAGUAUGAGUAUGCUAUGGGGCUAUUGACUAAGGGAUCUUAGAUAGGCUAUUGAUUAUCCCGCUUUCAAACUGGUUGUCCUAAAGGACAGGAGGAACUCUUUAACAUAUUAAUUAGUCUGGGGUGUACACUGAAAUGCCUUAGCCAAAGUAAACCACUCCUUAUGUAUACGAACAUUGGCUUGCAACUGCCAUUCUUUCUCGAUCGAAGGCAGAAGCAAUUGAAAAGAGAGAAGCAAAUGAUGAACUGGCUGGAAAAGAGCUCCCAGAGUAGAACUCGAAAUGAAAGUGGGCCUUUAACUGGCACUCCCGCUGUAAUUGGCUGGCCAGGAAAGUUCACUCGCUUAUUUACUUACGUUCUUAUUGAAGAAAGGAAAUUAAGAAAUAGCUACUAUUGAUACUGUAGUGGGACUGAGACUUAAAACAAAUAUACCUAUUAAGAGGUGGAACUGCUAGGCCUAGUACUUCCUAUUGCUGGUAUUCCAGGUGAACUUAUUCAAUACUCUAUGGUAGAAAUAGGAGAAACAUAUUCUAUUACUUAAUAAAGGGGAGAAACAAUUAGCUAUGAACUCAUCUCCUACACUGGGUCUAUGGGAACUAGGACUGAAAUUAUAUGGAUGGCUUUCGAGCCUGGAAAAUAACUGGCUUUUUCACAAGAUUGGUGAAACUGCUUUUAUCACUGGCUUUCCUCUUCUACUGAUUUAUAUUUCCUCCCGCUUUCUUCUUUUACGGAUAUUUCCCUUAGCUUUUUACCUAACCAGCCUUCAUCGAUACGAUACCCUGGCUUGCUUCUUUGCCUGCCUUGACUGUCGAAAUUAGCUUCCCUUAUUGAGAGCUCCCCAGCAAUAGAAUAUGACGAUACUCAUGCUCUGCUUGAACACUUGCCUGAUGGCUUUCAAAAUAGUUAUGGAUUGAAAAAGGGUAAAGAAACUGAAACUCAAAAGCAAACAAAGGAUUAGCAAUGGCUGGAAUAGAACUCCCAGAGAGAAGGCCAAAAACUGGCGCUUGGCUGGAAGGAAUUAGAUUAUGACUGGCCUCACCCUAUUUAUUUAUUUAUUGGCUCAUCUGGAUCGGUAACCUCGGGAAACCCGGGAGAACUCUUAUUGGGAGAACUUCAAGUGUUUAACUCCAAGCCCGACAUAUAAAAGCUAUAUUCAAGCCCCAGCCCUGUUUACUCCUGCUCAUUUAAAAUAUUCCUUACUGCUUGCCUUGAGAGAAACUCCUGCUGAAAAGGGAAUGCUUUCAUUUACUUAUGAUCUUGCUGGAUUAAAAAAGACUCCAACAGGAACUGAAAUUGGAUAGCUGGGAAUGGAAUAAUUAAUUAUGUAAAAAUACAUCUCUCACUUGCUUGUGUACUGGCACUCUCUGGAAAGGCUAUAAACUGACCCUGGGUCGGACUGGGACUUUCUCGCAGGAAAGGCAGAAUGAAACCAUUACGAAGGGAAAGAAAGAGAUACUUCUGUUGGCUUACUGGCUGGAAUGGUAAAGGACUAGUACUAGAAAUCGAUUACCCAGGCUGUAAAGGGCACUGACUCCCCAUAGCUUUCAGGAAAUUAAGGAACAGAGUGACGACCUUUAUAAUAUUAUUUAUAAAUAAAAAGAAUAAGGUAAGCAAAGAGAGGAAAUUCAAGUUCAAGAGACGGAUAGACUUACUCACUGGAAGGAUUGCCUAUACCCUUGCUUCACUAGAUAGGUGCUUUCCACUUACAGAAGAGGUGGAACAAGAUCAGGAUUUUUAAGAACUCCCACAGGAACUGGCUCUAAAGGAGAAGGAAUGGCACUAGGGGGAAGGGCUCGCAAAGCCUUAAGACUGAAAUUCAACCCCCCGAGAAGGCAGAACCAAGGAAACGGCCUGCAGGGGAAUCAGGACAGGUAAGGGAAGAAAGCAAGGCAAGGGAAAUCCCAACGGCUGGAAAGCAACUCGAUUAAAGGACAGGGACUACUGAUACAAUCCCAAAAGGAGGAGAUGCCCUUAGGAAUCCAACUCUCACUCCAACAGAUAAUUCAUCUUACUUAAAGGUUUCUUGCCUGCCCACAUCGAAAGAAAGUCCAACUGAGACUAUAUCUCAAACCCCUCCAAUGGUAACAGACUCGGGGACUACUAUUGCAAUAACAGGGACUGCUGGAAAGGAAAUAGGAUAUGCUGCAACACUGGGCUUGUUCAGGUAAUAUGCUAGUAAAAGAAUAGUGCAGAUAAUAGGUGUACAAGGCUAAUAUGCUAAUUAUUAACGAGUUGUUAUGUUAUACUAAAAUAAUCAAACUGAAAAGAGUUAUUAUGCUCACAUCACAGGGCCGGGCUCAGAGAACUCUGAAGUAGGCUCGAGAGCAAGAAAAGCAACUCCAACAGUAAAAGGUACUCCAAUUGACACUGAAACUGGGCAAACUCCCAAGAAGGGAGAAGGGCUAAUUCUAAGGCUGUCUCAUACUCUAUGUAACUAGGACUGGCACUAUGAACUCCUGCUUUAUAAUGACUUACUUGAUUACUUAGCCUAAGAGAGAGUUAAAAGUAAAGAAACUUAAACUGGAACUCACUCAAAACGAGCAGAAGGGCGAAGGACAGCAAUUGUAAAGAAUAAAGAAUCAAAGGCAGAAGGAAGGACAGAAAGGACAGGGACAAGGAAAACAAUUUAGGAAUACCUAUAGAUUUCCUCCGUAAAUAAAACUGUUUGCUCAGUUGACUAUCCAACUUUUUAAAACAAUCUGAACUUUGCUUUCUAACUAGCUUGCUCAUCAUAUAAUGUUGUCUCCCGGACACUGGCUCGCAUAGACCUAUAUCUAAGGGAACUAGCAAUAGCUGUAGGGGCUUAUCCUGAUCCUGAGACUGCUACUAUUUCUACUGCUACAAGAGAGAAUGUUUCAAUGGCAAUGGCCAGAGAAGCGGUACUUUGAAAAUCAAAAGGGCAAUUAGUACGGCUGACACGAUAGACUAAGAGACUACUUGCUCUCCCGCUGGGAGACAGGCAGAAGCACAUGAUGAUGCCCUUUUUUUCUUCUUCUUCAACUAGAUAGCUGGCAAUUGCCACUGAAACAGCAUCAAUGGUUGGAAGAAUAAAAGCAAUUGGAUAGUACCUUUUUUGCAAUUUCCUAGUAGGUUACAGGCCUGGAAAUAGACUGCAAAAAAGAGACGACUAAUGUACUCGCUUGCGCAUUUUCUUAACUCAUAUAAUUUCAUAAUUUAACUCAUAUAAUAAUGCUUAAUAACGAGCUUGCUUAUUCGCUUUUGCUCACAAAAGAACUGGCUUGCCAAAAGAAAAAGAAGAUUACUUAUCUCAAGGCCCUAGAAUCUGAGAACCUGAAAGAUAACUUGUUUGCUUUUUUUCCCUUUACCUGUGUGUGUCUGCUCACAACCGAAAUGAAUAGAAAACUCGCUGGAAGUGCCUUAAAGCCCAACUUCCCUUGCUUAUGGGACUGUAACCCACCAGUAGUAUAAGUAUAUACUACUACUACUUUAUAUGUAUAUAUCUUAUUAGUACAUUAAUAACCUAAUAACCAUAUAUUAAUAUAUGAACUCAUUAUUGGAUACUAACUAUUAAAC
rnacentral:lncRNA from 1 species